rnacentral:lncRNA from 12 species
AAUUCUAAAAAAUCAUUUUAUUUGUCGUUAAGUUUAUCGUUAUUCUGAAUGUUGAUUCUCAUUAUGCUCUAAUUACUGUAAUAUUUUUAUUAUUAUUUUGUAUGUGUGUGUGUGUGUGUGUGUGUGUGUGUGUGUGUGUGUGUGUGUGUGUGUGUGUGUGUGGUGUGUGUGUGUAUGUGUGUGUGUGUGUGUGUGUGUGUGUGUGUGUGUGUGUGUGUGUCUAUGGGUUUGAGACCACUGCCAGGUGUUUGGAGUGCUGCUGCUGGCCUGUUUUCAGACAGAAGACUUGAUUUAUUUGUACCAGAGUAAGCUGAAAGAAAUGCAUUUACACCAGACAAUCUUCUUAUGUGAUGCCGCUCGUUUGAAACCAUGUUAUACGGCUGGUCUGGUGUGUGUCGAGGGAAACUUCAUCGAGUGAAAGGUGCUGGAGUUUAAUUUCACGCAGCAGACAGAAUAUAUUCUGUUUCCUUUCAUACUUUUAUCCACACUCUGACUAACAGACAGCUCUCUCUCUCUCAGCAUCUCUCUUUCUCUCUCAUCCCUGGAAUGACCUUGUAUAAAUGAGAGUGUGAUCACGAGUCAGCUGGGCUUUCAGCUCGCGGCAAAUACACAAACAAUCCCUCCCUCCACACACACACACACACACACACACUCAGCCUGUCGCUCCCACAGACACCAUUAGCACGGCUCUCUGGUGGAAAUAGAAACCUAGAGAUAAAGAGAGAGAGACAGGAGGAUCAAAAGAAAAACAAAGAGGGCAAACAGGUGGAAUUAGGAAGAGAAACAGCAAACUAUUCCUCAGACGACAGGAACAUCCCCUCUGGGACGACAGGAGAGAGAGAGAGAGAGAGAGAGUUUUACCUUCCUCCUUAUCAACACACAUCUCAUGCUCCUCCUCUCCUCACAGUGACAGGUGAAACCUCUGCAGAUCUCAGCGGCUUGCGUCGUCUUUUGAGAGUGCCUUGUGUGUGUGGGUGUACUGUCUGCAUUCAGACGUCCGCACGUAGUGCAUGUGUGUGUGUGUGUGUGUGUUUUAGAGAGGCCGUUUUUCCCAGGGUGGUGUGUGAAGUGGGUCGUUCCUGACUGGAAUGAGAAUAAGCGGGGUGCCGUGUGACCCUGUGAGCGCCGAGCAUCGGGCCUCAAUGCCGCUGCUGUUGCUAUAGUUAUCAGUUAACCUAUCAGAACGAGUCCUGCUCAGAUGAACCAUCUCUCACCGUCCUUCUCUCACGUCCAGACCAAGUUAUGACUCAAUUAUUAGGAGACGUGAGUCACUGUUAUUUUAUUUUGUAAUGGAGGCUUUGCUGUUGAUGGAGGUUAACCUGAAUCAUUCCCAGCACAUAGUGAGGCACUACUGGACAAAUAAAGGUUCUUUAUUGGCUUUGAUGGUUCCAUAAAGAACCUUUAACAUCCAUGGAAUCUUUCCAAUCCACAAAGGGUUCUUUAUAGUGGAGAAAGUUUCUUUAAUGUGGAAGCUUAUUUCCACCACAAAACAAAAAAUAAUGUCAUUGUGACUUUAAAUCUCACAAUUUUGACUUUUUUCUCAGAGUUUGAAGUUUGAAUCCCACAAUUCAGUCUUUUUUCUUAGAAUUGUGAGUUUAUGGCUCACAAUUUCAACUUUUUUUCCCAGAAUUGCAAGGUCAUAUUUCACAAUUCUGUCUAUUUUCUCAGAGUUUGCGAGUUUUAUAUUUCAUAGUUUGGACUUCUUUCUCAUAAUUACGAGUUUUUGUCUUACAUUUCAGUUUUUUUUUUCUCAAAAAUUGUGAGUUUAUAUCUCACAAUUGAAUUUCAAGUUAGUAUCUCACAGUUCUGACUUUUUUCUUAGAAUUGCAAGUUGAAAUCUCACAAUUCGGCCAUUUUGAGUUUAUAUCUCAUAGUUUGGACUUUUCUCUCAGAAUUCAAAGUUUAUAUUUUAU